CCUACGGGCGGCUGCAGUGGGGAAUAUUGGACAAUGGGCGAAAGCCUGAUCCAGCCAUGCCGCGUGUGUGAAGAAGGCCUUCGGGUUGUAAAGCACUUUCAGUGGGGAAGAAAGCCUUGGGGCUAAUACCCUCGAGGAAGGACAUCACCCACAGAAGAAGCACCGGCUAACUCCGUGCCAGCAGCCGCGGUAAUACGGAGGGUGCGAGCGUUAAUCGGAAUUACUGGGCGUAAAGCGCGCGUAGGCGGUCUGAUAAGCCGGUUGUGAAAGCCCCGGGCUCAACCUGGGAACGGCAUCCGGAACUGUCAGGCUAGAGUGCAGGAGAGGAAGGUAGAAUUCCCGGUGUAGCGGUGAAAUGCGUAGAGAUCAGGAGGAAUACCAGUGGCGAAGGCGGCCUUCUGGACUGACACUGACGCUGAGGUGCGAAAGCGUGGGUAGCAAACAGGAUUAGAUACCCGGGUAGUC
rnacentral:rRNA from 1 species